rnacentral:ncRNA from 2 species
GAAUAUAAAUUAAUAAAUCAUCGUAUAACCCCGUUAAUAUGGUAUGGGGGUUUCUACCAAGCACCUUAAACGCUUGAUUACGAGGAAGAUGCAGUGCGCA